rnacentral:misc_RNA from 1 species
GUAGGUGAACCUGCGGAAGGAUCAUUAACAAAUCAGUUGUAUGGCUUCGGCCAUACAUAUUCACCCCAAGCCUGCUUGUCAGGCUUUGGUAGGCUAGUGUGCUUCGGCGUACUGGCCACAUAGACGCUUGUAUUGUUUGACAGAGUUUAGUUGCAUCAAAAAAUGACAACUUUUAACAAUGGAUCUCUUGGCUCUU